CUGAGACUCAGAUGUUGUUGCACGUUCCAGAGAGGACAGAGGUAAAAUGUCUGUUUGAACUCCUGACUCCCGGGUGACCCGCUCUACAGCUGUCAGCUGCUGUUUCUCCUGCAAGAUCCACUGCUGGACUAUUGGGUGAGGAUCCAGGUGAGGAAGUAGUACCACUUCUUAACAACAUCAAAACAGCUGGAUCAAGAAACACAGAGCGAUAUGACAACCAAAUACCUAUUUGUGGCUCUUCAAAUUGGUCCCGAGGUCCAAUGUGGGUAACUCCUUCCUGUAAGAAAAUGAUGUGAAAUAAACAUCAAAACCAAACAUGUGUUAUAGUGCUCAACUAAAAAGCAGUAGCACUUGAAACAACAAGAAUUGUGUUAAAGAACUGUUGCCCUUUUCUCAUUUCAAACCUUCGGCUUAGUUGAUAAACGCACAAUUUGUUUACUCUGAAGUCUUAUCUGAUGAGAUUAAAGGCUUUUCUAUAUGGUGUCAGAACCAUAUGUGCUCUCAGGUGGCCUCAGUUCUUCACAUGCAGGAAACAAUAUAAUUGUCAGACCUAAGGGUAUGCUUGUCAUUGUCAGAAUCAGGACAGCUUAAGCUCCCCGGAGUCCUAGCCUCAGAACUAAGAGCCUCUUAUUCGACUGAGCGUCAUGGAUUGUGGAAGAUAUUCAUACUGCGAAGAUGGGAGAUCGACAGGACAGUUGGAGGGUAAGAGUGAAAAGAAAAGACCAAAGAAACGCACCUUUUCUCAAGGGUUUUUCUAGCAGAACAGAGAGAAAUAGGAGGAGGAGGAGAAGAAUCUAGUCAAGACAGCUGACAAAAACGGCAACUUGAGAGCUGGGAAAAGUAGAGCAAAUGCAGAAAAUAGUUUGUGGGACUUUGCAUCAGGUUGCUCAUUCAAGCGUGUAUUUUUAGCAUGACAGUGGGGUGCAAAUAAGUGAUGUGAGUCUCUGGGGAUAAGGGAUUGAAUGAAAGUGCACCACCAACUGCUAAAAGGACGAACAUCACUGGUUCUAAAAGAAAUUUCCACCACUUGCUUAUUUUUCCUGUAUUACAAUGUUGAUAAUGACAAACAAAUCCAACCCUUUUUCUAUUUAUACAGGGACACAACAUAUCUAAUUGCAUUCUUCUCAUCAUACC